UCCCUAACCUCAUUUAAAGGCUGACAACCAGAACAGAAGGAUCUCUACUUGGAGAUUGCCUCCUUUGGAAGUUUCUAACAAAUCCUGAUCCUUAGCAAGGGGAUCUGACUGCCAACUUAAGAACUUGAAAACAACAGAACAACCGGUCCUUUAGAUCUAUUAUGAGGAAAAUCCAAGUUUGGAUCCUGGAAAGUAGCUGGACCCUGCUCCUUAUGUUACGAAGGCAUCUUCUGCAGAGUCUGCAUUGCUUGAUUUAUACACAAUCAUUUGAAGGGCCUCCACACUUCUAUCUGUCAUCCCAGGAUGAGGUGUGGACAAUCCAUUCUCUCAGUGGGAAAUUGAAGAAAACCUGAAGUAAGGAGAAUAAUCAGAUUCUUUCAGUUCCUGCCUCUAUCAGUUGCUAUUCUGUGCCUCUUCUCUCCCUGCAGUGUGACACAGGCCUUGAGAAGUGAAGAUAAGUGAAGAUGAGAUUCCAUGUGCAUACAGGAGGGAGGAGUCCCGGUCUACAGAUGAUAGGAUAUGAGAAGAUAAGAAAGCAAUGGAAAAAGGUUCCAGCUGAGUCUUAUACCUUUGAUAUAGACUGUGAAUUUGAAAAAGAAGAAAAAAUAAAAAAUAAAGAAAAAAAGGAAGAGGUAAAACUAUUCAGAUGCAGGAGAUCACAGCAUAUUGCUUCUUCUUACAUGGCUCUUUCGAAAGGUUAAUCAUCAAACUUUAGUUUGGGACUAUAUAAUGUACUUCCCAACUCCGCCCACUGUACCAUGAGAUCAACAAGAUUAGAUAUCUCUGUAGCCUGCUCACCAGCAAAAUGUGAUAUUCUGGCUGAGACAAGAAGCUAAGAACAACUGGCCUGCAAGAUUAAGACUGGCUAUCAUACUGUGGCUCUGUAACCCUCUGCUGGACUAAACCUGAAGUUUGCUGUACAUGGUUUGUGUCUACAUCAGAAGGCAAAGAAGAAAGCACGCCACUGCUUCUGCUGACAGUACAGGAAAGGAUCCUUGCUGCAUCUGCUGCAGACUGAAGUGGCAACUCAAUUACCCCUGCCAGUGGUGAGGAUGCUCCCAGCUGCUCUGAGUCUCCUUGACUGCAUAAAAUUCAUGACGUACCUGAAGAGGAGUAUAUGGUGGUUGCUGUGUUCACAUCUGCUUCCGUUAGGGAUGAGCAGCUGGAUUCGGUCAAGGAACCCUUGACCGUCACGGGAGCAAUGCUGGGAUGGCGUAAGGCAGCUUUCAGGGGAGCGAUGUGGUUAUACCAAACAGAAGACAUGCAGCCAGUGAAACCGUAGACAUUUGCCUUUGAGACUUCAGGGUCCAGUGCUAAACUGUCUGCGACACAACAGAAAAACAGUCUGGAGAUUGUCAGUUUGAGGAAGACAGGAUCUGUGUCCAUGAUGUCAUGCAGCCAGAGGGAACAAGAAAAGUCUAUUAAGUUAGAAGACUAAAUACUCUGAUGGAUGGAUGAACUACUGCUGCCAGAGGAGUUAAGAGGACAAUCUCUGGGCUGGGAAUGACCGAACAACUGCCAGAGAGAUGUGAAGGAAUGGAAAGAAUAUUACAGGAUUUCCUUGCAAACAACUGAAAAAAGAGUGCCAAGAGGAAAGAUUUGAGAUAAUGAUUUCAUUGGCCUGAGAGAAGAUAAUUUUGGUCACGCAAUUGGUAUGGUAUCAAAAAGACAGCUUGUCACAGAAGAAGAAAUUUCACCUUGGAUUACACUGUGAAAUUCAUGAUGUGAAAGUUUGGAAUGUAGGAAAUAAAAUCAGUCUCAACAUUGCCAGCCCUACAUGGUUCUGCAUGAGCUUGAAAUGUAACAUAUUGGGGAAAAAAAAAAGGAAUGGGGAAAAAAAACACGGGCCUUGGAUUGCAUGAAGCGGUUGUGUUAUUGUAGCCUGGUUAUUUUCAGUAGAGUAAACUAGCUCCUAAAACACUCUGAAAUAGCUGCAAGGAUUAUGUGUAAAAUACUGCUCCACGGAACCAUGCUGGGCUGUGCAGAGACAUAUAAGUGAAACACCGAUAGCUGGAGAAUGUCUGCCUCCAAGUCGGUCUCACAAAAGCAGCCUGACACCGAAGCUUCCCAGUAAGACCAAAGAGUAAAUGGUGGACUGCCACGAGCAUGGGUG